GUGUAAAAAUAUCUCCUGGAUGUGACAAAAAAAAAUCAUAGAAUAAGUGGUGCAUUAACGCACCACUGGGACAAAAAAGAAAACAUCGAUGCAGUGCGGAAACUGAUUUUGCAGGAUCGUCAUGUGUCUUUGGGCAUUAGGGGGACCAGCAUGUGGCCAGCAUCAGCUCAAAAACAGGCUUGUGUUGAUUGGUCGAAGGAAAUGCUAAAAAAUACGAACGCGGUGCUUCCAAACACGUGACAGGUGAUGAAUCAUGGAUCUAUGCAUAUCUAUGAAAGUAAGCAGCAGUCAACUGUGUGGGUCUUUCGGAAUAAGACAAAGCCCACAAAAGUUGCGAAACAAAUGGCAGACUGUUUUUUCAGGAAAACUGGCCACGUUGCAACUAUUUCUUUGGCAAAUAGUAAAACAGUCAAAUCUGAAUGGUACACAACCAUUUGUUUGCCGAAAGUCUUCGAAGAAAUUAGAAAAACCGACCGCCGAAGAAGAAUCACUCUCCACACCCUCCGAUCUGUGCAAACAAAGAACUUUUUGAGCAUUAAAAACCUUGAUUUGAUGAUGAAUACACCUUAUAGUCCUGAUUUAGCACCCAAUGACUUCUUUUUAUUCCCAUACAUUAAGAAUAAAUUAUGUGGGCAAUGAAUUUGACACCGGAAGAAGCGAUUGAUGCGUUUAAAAAGCAUGUUUUAGAGGUGUCCGAAUCGAUGUUGGGAAAGUGCUUUGAUGAUUGGUUUUAUCGAAUGCAAAAGUGUAUUGAUCAUCAGGGUAUAUAUUUUGAGAAACAGUAAAGUCAUUUUUGUUGGUAGCUAAUAGUUUUUUAUUAUAUAAGGUAGCUCUCGUAUAGCUUAACUCUAUUGAUGAGAAAGUGUCUGUUCUUAAUGAGAAUAUGAACAUUCUCCUGGAUGCUUAUGGUCUGUUGGAUAACAAAAAUUAUGACGUUUUGAAUGUAAAAAAGGACCACAGCGACACGUAAGACAGGCCAGAUGAUGAUGUGUGUGUAAGUUUUCUGCAAUGUUACAACGGAUUUUCUAUUAGUAAAAAUAUCUAAGAAGAUUAUUAUUAUUAGUUCCUAAUUAAAUGGUAAGACAUAUGGCUAAGAAAAUCUUUUUUGACCAUUGGACCAUGGACCAGGAGUGGGAUUAACCCCGUGUUUUGAUUAGCGUCAUGUUGGACACAUAACUAUUUUAAAUUUAAAAUUAUAAAGAAACACAAACAGUAAUUCGUUUUCGGAUAACGCGUCGUGCGAAACGGCAAAUCAACGGGUUUCGCAAAUUGCCAACACUAAUAAUUAACUCUUGAUAAUCGUAAAUUUUUCAACGCGAUAAAUAAGUUGGUACGCUUGCGUGCCAUGCAAAUUUUAUUAUUGCCGAGGUCUCAAAGCAUGCAAAUCGCCUAAUAGAUUUAUCGGCAAUAUAAUUCAUUAAUCCUCUUUAAUUCCAAUUAUCAUCGACGCUCGUACGCCUAUGAGGCAAACUAAUUCGCAAUGGCCGUCGUAAAUAAAUACAAUGGAAUGUUUUACGCUACUUGUCGUUACGCCAAAACCGUCUAGUCUCGGGUUUCCUAAAAUCAAAUGCUGGGAAAUUUGAUUAAAAUCUAAAAACGCAUUUGAAACAAUAAUGCGAGGAGAUCCUUUUUACGUAAAAUUUAAAAAUAAUAAUAAUAAUAAUAAUAAUAAUAGAACAAUAAAUAACUUUAUUGUGGGUACAUUCAAUUAGAAGUUAUA